UGUUCUUCUGGGUCACCAAACUUCAUCAAUAUGGCCUGGGCUCUUUUCCUUAGUCUCUUGGUAGUGUGGGGCAAAGGAGCAACUUCGCAAAGUCUGGUGUCUCAACCUCCGUCAGCCUCAGUGUCCCCAGGAAACACAGUGAAACUCGCCUGCACCUUGGACAGUGGCAUCAGUAUUGGAAGCUACAGGAUACGUUGGUACCAGCAGAAGACUUCAGGUCCUCCACGUUUUCUCUUGCACUUCCAGACAGAUUCUGACAAGGGACAAGGUUCUGGAGUUCCUUCUAGAUUCUCUGGUUCCAAAGAAACCUCCACCAAUACUGGUUAUUUAACCGUUUCUGGAGUUCUGGCUGAAGACGAGGCUGAUUAUUACUGUGCUAUCUGGCACAGCAGCACGUUUCACAGUGAUAUCUUCUAAUGAAGAAGUGAGACAAAAACCUCCCGUCUCUACAGCUGGUAGCUUCUAAAAAGCAAAAUCUCACCUUGGGUUUUUCUUUCUUCAGCUUCAGAGCUAUCUCCAGCAACUAAAAGUUUUUCUGUUUGAUUUUCUAAUUCAGUUCUAGCCCUUUCUUACAUUUUCUCAUAUUAUCAGCUGCCCAGAAUCGCUGUUAUCAGUGAGAUGGCUGGCAUAGAAAUGUAAUGAAUAAGUAAAAUAACAGAAUAAUAGAAUUGGAGGAGACCUUGGAGGUCUUCUAGUCCAACCCCCUGCACAUGCAGA